rnacentral:rRNA from 1 species
CACGUAGGGCGCAAGCGUUGUCCGGAAUUAUUGGGCGUAAAGAGCUCGUAGGUGGUUUGUUACGUCUGCUGUGAAAUCCUAGGGCUUAACCCUGGGCUUGCAGUGGAUACGGGCAGACUAGAGGUAGGUAGGGGAGAAUGGAAUUCCUGGUGUAGCGGUGAAAUGCGCAGAUAUCAGGAGGAACACCGGUGGCGAAGGCGGUUCUCUGGGCCUUACCUGACGCUGAGGAGCGAAAGCGUGGGUAGCGAACAGG